UCUCUAAGUAUUCACUUUCCUGCAGAAGAAAACAAAAAUAAAAUAUUGGAGGACCUUUCUGAAAAGUUUUAUCAAGGCUUAAAGCUCACGCUCAAUCAACACCAACUCCCAACUUCCUGACGCCAGCCUCAAUGUUUCUGAAAUAGACAGAAGAAGCAAACCACCUCCUGCUGCUUUUUAAAAUAAAAUGUACAACUGUGGAAGUGAGUCUUGAAACUAUCUGAAGGUGGUUUGGUGUGAUGCUGGGACAGUGGUGUGUGGUGUAGAAUUGAGUUGUUCGGAAGUGGGACUGCACCAUGAGAAGCUCCUGGCCCACAGUGUGUGAGAGAGAGCUGUGGUUGACAGAAAUGUUACAGAAACAGAUUGUGAGAGACACACAUUCCCAAACUGACUGUAUAGGCCUAAACUUCAUAAAUAAACCCCUCAUCUCUGGAAUCAAUCUAAAGAACCUCCUCUGAACUGCCUGAAAUACAACUACAAGCCUCUUCAAGUAAGGGACCAAAAUUGUACACAAUACUCCAGGGAGAAGUUACGUUGAAGGUGUCAAAGUUGACAAAUAUCCCUCAGGAUAGAUGCUGUAUGAAUGGCUCACAGCAUUGGGCACAGAGUGGAGAUUCCAGCUCACACCAAAAAUGACUUUGUGACAGUAAACAUCUCUUCAGCCCUGAUAUUCCAAUCAGACAACUCAAUGAUAAUAAUGGACUCUGAGCUCACUGUGAUAAGAAACCUCGCACAGCACCAAUUAAUCCCAACCAGCUCCAAGAACUGAACGCUGUCUGUGUUCCCACCACAUGUUCCUCACAUCACCCACGCCUUAAUUUAGACUCAGGAGAAUCAGAGAGAACUUUCUAGAAGGCUGCAGAAUUGUGUUGGGAUCAAUGUUCUUCUGGACCAGUCACAGGUCUUGAGGUGAGUGAUGGAGGGUGGAGAGAGCAAGGGUGAAGGUACUGUGGCUGGGUUCUAAGGAUAAAGCUACUGUUGAUGAUGAAGGAGGGACUCAUGCUCCUCACUGAGCUUUCCAGUUUUAUUCAGACUCUUUACCCUCUCUCCCUCCUCUAACUCCUGUCCUGGGGACACACAGAUACCUUGACUGGAGACUUGUAUUCCAGGACACUCUGGGCCUGUAGAGGAGACACCAUGAUCCAGCAGGAUGGACAGACGGAAAGAGGAAGGGGUCCCAGAUCUCUGCCCUUUCCCCACACCCCACCUACCCGAAAGAGACUCCAAGCUUGAUCUCCCUAUUCCCUACCUCACCCCAACCCCUUACUGCAACCGCAUCCCCUACUACCACCCAUCCCUAUCUAGGUUUUCUGCCUGGCUACAGCUGGAGCACUAUGAUUGGCUGACAGCUCUGGUGGGCAGGGAUUUGGGGGGAAGGUUUGAUGUUUUCCGAUUGGAGGGAAUGGUCAUGGCCUUGCCCUAAAGGUCAGUGCACUCAAGUGUGAUGCCCAGUGAGGCUGGAAGAUUCUGCUAGCUCUAAUGCAAGGUGAGAGCUCUCUCAGCUCUGCAGAAAUGAUUGAGAGCAAACAGGGAAAAAAGCAUGAUUUAUCUGGACAGAUAGACUACUCGAUCUUAGUGUUGGGUGGAUCGAGAAGCAGAGGUGCACAGAUUUAAGGCGAUCACAUUGGUGUCCAACAGCUCCCUCAUGCUGCAGCAGCAACACGCCGCCAAUGAGAUAAGAAAGUUUCCAGGCAGCGAGUGCCUGGGAUCGAGAAUACGCUGCCAAUUACUGUCACUGAGGAACAUUCGAUCGAGGUGUUCAAAAGGAAUUCCAAUCAUUUUUCUAAGAGAAAACUGCGGUGGGAGUCUGAGCCAGAGUCACUGGACUCAAAACAUUAACUCUGGUUCUCUCUCCACAGGUGCUGCCAGACCAGAUCUGCUGUGUUUUUCCAGCAAUUUCAGUUUUUGUUGCUGCAUUGUGAGGAAUGGGCAGAAGGAUGGGAGUAUUGGCACAAUGGACUGGGUGCCCUCUUCCUGUGCCCUGCACCAUGCAGGAAAAUAAUCUCACAAUUAAAUCAGUAAUCAGUAAAAUAGGGUAAUGUUUGUGUAAUAAACAUUUGCAAACCAAUUGCUGCAGGCAGAGAGGAUCUCAAAGAGCAGACCAACCAGCAGGAACGCCAAAAUACAACUCUGCCCACCAACAUCCUCCACUGUUCAUCCUCAUGCACCUCUCCCCCCAAAUGCUCGUCUCUCCAAAACACCCCUCCCUGUAUGCACACCUUCCCCAGACAACAUUCCCGCCAGUCACCCAUCACCCCCCAAACACCCCUCUCCAUAUAUCCCUCCUCCAUACACUUGUUCCCCCAAAACACCCUUCCCCAUACACCCCUGCCUCCGUACUCUCCUCCUCACAUCCCUCCAUCAUACGCCCAUCAUCCAUACCUCUCCUCCACGCACCCCUCCCCCCACACACAACUUCCCCAAUGCAAUUCUACUUCCCACCCAUUCUACUUUCCACUCCUCCCACACAUCCCUCCCUAACUGUACACCACCACUGUACACUCCCAAGUCUGUACUACAUGCUUACAGUACACCCCAUCCCACUGGAAUUGGCCAUAGACUGGUAUCUGUAAUGCUGAGGAUCACAGAGGGAGGCUGAGAUGGGUCAUCCACUCUGCAGUUCUGAUUGAAGAUUGCUGCAAGAGCUUCAGCCAUAUCUUUUACACUGAUAUGCUGGGCUCUUCCAUUAUUGAGAAUGGAAAUAUUUGUGGGCAUCCUCCUCCAGUGAGUUGUUUAAUUGUCCACCACCAUUCCUAACUGACAGAUGUCUCAGGGAUAAUUUCAGUUGUCAGAGUGAUUUCUGAUUUCAGUCUCCCACUCUCCCAUCUUGGUAAAGUGUGAACAUGGGUUUGAUGACGGAGGAUGAAGGGUCAAGGAGUUGCUGGUAAUGUGUGUUUGCGUGUCACAUGCAUGUACAUUCUGAGACAAAUGCUGGCAAAAUAACCACUACAAAUAAACCACUGGUUUCAAGCCCAUCCGUGUGGGUUAAACGAUUUAACCAUUCUAACUGAAUAUAACGAUGCGAGGAGUGUGAUCAACAAAACAGAGGAAAGCAGUGAAAGAGUUAACAAUGUGGUUGGGUCUUAACGUGCGGUACACAGCUCUGAUUAUGCUCUUUAAAUGCACAGUUCUUGGAGAUUUUUCUCAUUGAUGUGUCGAACAUGACGUCAGCAACUGAUCAGAUAAAGUUAUGUGUUAGUGAGGACGUGUGAGAAGGAUGACUUCCAGACAAAAACCUUGUUCACUCAAAAACACAGCUCUUACGGUCAGUCACAACUCCCUCUCAAAAUCAAAAACCAAUAUACAGCACGCCGUCUUUAACAUGGGGGGGCAAUAGCCUGUUGGUAUUAUCGCUAAACUAUUAAUCAGGAAACCUGCCGCAGCAAAUGGUGGAAUUUGAACUCAAUGGAAAAAAGAAAAU